UACGAAGGGGGCUAGCGUUGCUCGGAAUGACUGGGCGUAAAGGGCGCGUAGGCGGAUUGUACAGUCAGGCGUGAAAUUCCCGGGCUCAACCUGGGGGCUGCGCUUGAGACGUGCGAUCUUGAGUGGGGAAGAGGGUCGUGGAAUUCCCAGUGUAGAGGUGAAAUUCGUAGAUAUCGGGAGGAACACCAGUGGCGAAGGCGGCGACCUGGACGGACACUGACGCUGAGACGCGAAAGCGUGGGGAGCAAACAGG
rnacentral:rRNA from 1 species